ACUCCUACGGGAGGCAGCAGUGGGAAUCUUAGACAAUGGGGGCAACCCUGAUCUAGCCAUGCCGCGUGUGUGAUGAAGGCCUUAGGGUCGUAAAGCACUUUCGCCGGGGAAGAUAAUGACGGUACCCGGUAAAGAAGCCCCGGCUAACUCCCGUGCCAGCAGCCGCGGUAAUACGGAGGGGCUAGCGUUGUUCGGGAAUUACUGGGCGUAAAGCGCACGUAGGCGGAUCGGAAAGUUGGGGGUGAAAUCCCAGGGCUCAACCCU
rnacentral:rRNA from 1 species